rnacentral:rRNA from 1 species
UACGAAGGGGGCUAGCGUUGCUCGGAAUCACUGGGCGUAAAGGGCGCGUAGGCGGCCAUUCAAGUCGGAGGUGAAAGCCCAGGGCUCAACCCUGGAAUUGCCUUCGAUACUGUCUGGCUUGAGACCGGAAGAGGUAAGUGGAACUGCGAGUGUAGAGGUGAAAUGCGCAGAUAUCAGGAGGAACACCGGUGGCGAAGGCGGAUCUCUGGGCCUUACCUGACGCUGAGGCGCGAAAGCUAGGGGAGCGAACAGG